rnacentral:rRNA from 1 species
AUUGAACGCUGGCGGCAUGCCUUACACAUGCAAGUCGAACGGUAACGCGGGGCAACCUGGCGACGAGUGGCGAACGGGUGAGUAAUGCAUCGGAACGUGCCCGGUAGUGGGGGAUAACUGCUCGAAAGAGCAGCUAAUACCGCAUACGACCUGAGGGUGAAAGGGGGGGAUCGCAAGACCUCUCGCUAUCGGAGCGGCCGAUGUCGGAUUAGCUAGUUGGUGGGGUAAAGGCCUACCAAGGCGACGAUCCGUAGCUGGUCUGAGAGGACGACCAGCCACACUGGGACUGAGACACGGCCCAGACUCCUACGGAAGGCAGCAGUGGGGAAUUUUGGACAAUGGACGCAAGUCUGAUCCAGCCAUGCCGCGUGCGGGAAGAAGGCCUUCGGGUUGUAAACCGCUUUUGUCAGGGAAGAAAUCUUCUGAGUUAAUACCUCGGGAGGAUGACGGUACUUGAAGAAUAAGCACCGGCUAACUACGUGCCAGCCGCCGCUGUAACAC